rnacentral:rRNA from 1 species
AGCGAACGCUGGCGGCAGGCUUAACACAUGCAAGUCGAACGGGCAUCUUCGGAUGUCCGUGGCAGACGGGUGAGUAACACGUGGGAACGUACCCUUCGGUUCGGCAUAACGCAGGGAAAAUUGCGCUAAUACCGGAUACGCUCUCUUGGGGAAAGGUUUACUGACGAAGGAUCGGCCCGCGUCGGCUUAGCUUGGUGGUGGGGUAACGGCCUACCAAGGCGAGGAUCAGUAGCUGGUCUCAGAGGAUGGGCAGCCACACUGGGGCUGGGACACGGCCCGGACUCUUACGGGAUGGAGGAGUGGGUAAUAUUGGACAGUGGGCGCAAGCCUGAACCAGCCAGGCCGGGUGAGUGAUGAAGGCCGUAGGGUUGUCAAGCUCUUUUGUCCGGGACGAUAAUGACGGUACCGGAAGAAUAAGCCCCGGCUAACUUCGUG